UCGUAGUCAUGAGGAGCACGCCGCGUGAGUGAUGAGGUUUUCGGAUCGUAAAGCUCUGUUGUUAGGGAAGAACAAGUGCCGUUCAAAUAGGGCGGCACCUUGACGGUACCUAACCAGAAAGCCACGGCUAACUACGUGCCAGCAGCCGCGGUAAUACGUAGGUGGCAAGCGUUGUCCGGAAUUAUUGGGCGUAAAGGGCUCGCAGGCGGUUUCUUAAGUCUGAUGUGAAAGCCCCCGGCUCAACCGGGGAGGGUCAUUGGAAACUGGGGAACUUGAGUGCAGAAGAGGAGAGUGGAAUUCCACGUGUAGCGGUGAAAUGCGUAGAGAUGUGGAGGAACACCAGUGGCGAAGGCGACUCUCUGGUCUGUAACUGACGCUGAGGAGCGAAAGCGUGGGGAGCGAACAGGAUUAGAUACCCUGGUAAUCCACGCCGUAAACGAUGAGUGCUAAGUGUGAGGGGGUUUCCGCCCCUUAGUGCUGCAGCUAACGCAUAAACCACUCCGCCGGGGGGAGGAAAUCA
rnacentral:rRNA from 1 species